CAUCCUAUAACUCUAGGACCUACACAGCUCAAGCGGACCAACCCUCCCCUUUCUUGCUGCAUCCCUAUGAGGUCGCCUGCCCUGGUACACCCGGCAUCCGGUUCCCUUGGAUGUAGUCCAUACCCCUUGCAGUGUAUUACGACCCCUUCCCGCCAAGACUCGGCGUGACUCAAUCUUACCGGCGCCUCUAUUCUUACUUGCCGUUUUUGAACGCUACGGCCGCCGCGUUUUCCCAUACUCCCCACCAGUCCCUCGGCGGUUCGUAUUCCAUUUCUAUCCAUCUUCCAUACUCCCCACCAGUCCCUCGGCGGUUCGUAUCCAUUUCAUAACUUUUCCUUUUUCUUAUCAUUUCCUUUUUCCUUAAACCCUUAGACUCUUUCUUACUUUUUUUUUUUAGACGCCACCCGUUCUCGGUGUCACACUCAAUCCAUUCAGCAAUCAUUCAUAGGUAUCCUAUCAUUCAUCUAACCAGACCGGUUAACAGUUCUCUUAUUAUCCUACGUUCAUUUCUUUCUAACCAUCCUAGCUCUCAAUCACAACCACGGAUCUUCAAUCAAUCAAACAAUCAAUCAGUUUAUUUAGAAUCUUAAAUCAGUACGAGAGUUCUAAUGCAACAUGGUCUAUCAACCUAACAACAACCAGGAUCUACUCAAUCCUAGAUCCACAUUCAACAAUAUAAAAGAACAUGAAAGAGAUCUGGGUAGAACACCUCACCUUAGCCUAGAUCCGGAUCUGGAUCUAAAAAUAAGAGGUGUGAGAAACGGGAUCUGAGAUCUACAACACCACGCGGCCACCACCACCAUUCGCGGCUGCUCACGGCGAGGAGAGAGAGAGAGAGAAGAGAGAUGCGGUGAGGAGAGAGAAAAGAAGGAGAGGCAGCGCGGGGAGAGAGAGAGAGAGAUCUUCGACGGCUAGGGCUUCCUGUCUCCGGGAUUUUUCUGCAGAGCUUCGCUCUAGAAUUUCUGAUGAGAGACAAGGGAGGUGGAGGCUUGUAUUUAUAGGGAAAGGCAAGGGAACCCUAGGGUUUUAAUCCUAAUGGGCUGCAGAACGGGCCUUCCCUUUUAAAACACAAAAACUUUUUGGGUUUGGGUUUUGGGGUGUUACAAUUCUCCCCCUGUUAAUCAGAAUUCGCCCCGAAUUCCAAUCUUCCGGCUUUGAACACUAACAUUCCAAAACCCGAGGUGAGUUCAAACACAUUCAAGGGAGGCACACAAUAUUUUCUUAAGGAUUUUCUUUCGAAAUCUCCCAGAUAAAUAAGGAAUAACAUAAUUCCUACUCAUACUGGAUGUUUCCGAAAUCUUAUUUAGUCUCUACAAAGUGGAGAAGUGCGUUUCUGCCUCGAAUCAUAACCAAACACUCGGACACCUCUAGCUGGCGGUUCCAGAUAAUCCUCCUAAUUUUAACCUUCCGAUGGAUCCUCUUUCGGUUCAGCGCUUGUGACAUAAAUAACAUGUUUAACAACCACGCCUUUGCUGCCAUCGCCUUCCCUGUCAUCCUCACCACUAAGGCAAAUUCCAUAGAUUCCAUGGCUCCAUUCAGCUCUCCUCGAAUGUUCCUACGGAGUCUCGCCUUAUAACCCGGCACUACCUCUCCGCAGGCUUCGACUUGCAUUUCUCGGUCAUGUCUAAGAACUCCUUAGUGUACUCUUGGACCAGGCGAGGCCUAUGCAUUAUCUGAACAAGGAUCUCACACUUGCACGGCUCGGUACAUUCUCCCGAGGUUCUUUCAUCCAUAAUCGAUCUCUUCCGCAGAUCCUCUUCCACUUCCAUUUCUUCCUUAGAGCUUGAGAUGGCGACGACCCAACGGUAAGUGCCCUUUCUACCUCCACUGCCUGACCGGCUAUCUAGUUCAUCAGAACGCAUUCCCAUGGUUCUAACACACCAAGCAACUUGCCCUGAAUUUCCUCGCGGAGCUCUGCCUUAAUCCCCUGGCACCAACCCUCCGCUGACUUUGGCUUGCAUCUUUUAGUUGUCUCCAAGAAUUCCUCGGUGUACUCCCGAACUGAGUGCGUUCCUUGAUUAGCAUGCAUCAGUGUCCCACACCGACAUACCCCAGUUACGCUCCUUAGGCGGUCUGCAUCAAUACUAGGAAUCUUCCUCGGACGUCCACGUUUCCUCGUUGGCACACUGUCUUCCAUCCUAAACGGUCCAAGACCUUCCCGAUCAAUCCUGACUUCCUUGGGUGCCCAUAGCCCAUCUUGGGCAGCGUCAUUUCGACUUCAGGCGUGAACUGGAAGAUCACAUGGCCUUGGUACAUUCGCCUACACUCUUGGAUCUCUGGAACUGGGGCAUCAGCACUUGACGCCUCACGGAUGUCUCCCGAUGUGGACGUUCGGCUGCUCCACGAACUUCAUUCCCUCCUCGUCCUUGUUAGCAUCAACAUUUUUGCUACAUGGUGAUACUCCAUCAUCCUUUUUACUCCAAGACGAUCUUUUUACCCCACAAUGAUCCUUAUUACCAUGAACCUUUUUACCCUAUGAAGAUCCCAUAUCCUUAUUAGCAUUUCGCAUUUGCUCCAAAAUGACCCUCCAUCAUCUUUUUUUACCCCAAGAUGAUCCUUAGCUUAAUUAUCACAAUCUGAAAUCGGUUCCCCUUCUUCUGCCCAUCCGAUCGUCCCUUGGCCGCCCCGGUUUUGCUCCUUCCUCUUAGGCGGGCCCACUCCAAGGUGGUAGGGCCCGCGCCCAUGCUCUUUUUUUUUUUUUUAUAUUGGGAACAAGCUUCACUUUGAUAUCUGAAUGACAUUAUGCUAUUUCUUUGCCGGGAUAUCUCCUCCGUGAAGCUGCGCUUGCCUCCGCCCUGCGUCCGACUCUCCUUCCCCGGCCUUCCCGGCCCGGUGUGGGGUAGUGUCGCCGACAAAACGUUUCCCUCCAGCUCGUAUGUCCGACUUUCCAUUCCCCCUUAACUUGUCGUGCUAGGCAAUUAAUCCCUCUGUAUACUUGCCUUACCACUCCUUGUUACCCAUUCCUGAACCUCUGAAACUCCACUACACCGCGGUACGAGGACUUUUUGUUGAUCUGAUCUUGGCCGGAGACUCUGAGUUGUUCGUAUACUCCUUCAGCAUUAGCUAUGACGGUCUAUCAGAACCAUAAGGGAAAUGGGCAAUAUCGGAAACGUUGAUCCCUUAAGUUAGUAUUAAGGGACCUUAACCUGGCUCUGAUACCAAUUGAAACACCCGUCCCUCCCCAUUUCCAACCGGGGUUCCAGGGCGCGGGGUUUAGGACACACAUGUCUACUUUUCCCGACAUCUCCGUGUGUCCCGUUUCUGGUCCCAUAAGUUUCAGGUGCGUUUCCUUUCUUACCGUCGACAUUUCCACUUAUAGUUCUGCAAAAAAGAGAGGGAAAAGGAGGGUGAGUACGAAUACUCAGUGAAGCGAUUCUAGACCAGUCUCCCCCAUGAGCUUUUAUACCGCUCAAUGCGAAACGAGAACCGACUAGUCACUACACCCAAUUCCUAACUAACUAUUAAAGAUCCGUUUCACAAAACAAGCAGUGCAAUGAACUCAGUCAUCGCUCAAUUCACACAUUUCGGUUUAUUAAUUAAGAUUCCAUUCAUCCUAUAACUCUAGGACCUACACAGCUCAAGCGGACCAACCCUCCCCUUUCUUGCUGCAUCCCUAUGAGGUCGCCUGCCCUGGUACACCCGGCAUCCGGUUCCCUUGGAUGUAGUCCAUACCCCUUGCAGUGUAUUACGACCCCUUCCCGCCAAGACUCGGCGUGACUCAAUCUUACCGGCGCCUCUAUUCUUACUUGCCGUUUUUGAACGCUACGGCCGCCGCGUUUUCCCAUACUCCCCACCAGUCCCUCGGCGGUUCGUAUUCCAUUUCUAUCCAUCUUCCAUACUCCCCACCAGUCCCUCGGCGGUUCGUAUCC
rnacentral:lncRNA from 1 species